UCAAUCUCCAUCACGGACCGCGAUUCUUCUGUACUCGGGUGUUUUAGAACUUCAAAGAGGACGCCUUUGGGCAAUUCGGUCGGAGCCGACGUCACCAGCUUGGAGAGAAGGUCAGCCCUGGUAUUUUCCAACCUUGGGAUCUGUCUAAUGUUGAAGCUGCUAAAGGCAGGGGUGAGCUCCUUUACCUUCUCAAGGUAUUUGGCCAUACUGUCCUCCCGCGCUUCGUAACUCCCGCUGACCUGCCCCACC
rnacentral:lncRNA from 1 species